GGUCUAAAGUAGUGCACUAUAUAGGGAAUAGGGCUCUGGUCUGUAGAAGUGCACUAUAUAGGGAAUAGGGCUCUGGUCAAUAGUAGUGCACUAUGAAGGGAAUAAGGUGCCAUUUGGUACACCGGUAAACCCCACAAUGCCUCAGCCUCUCGUCUAUUUUCUUCACACCACGGGAGUGAUCACGUCUUCUUCCUCCACCACCUCCCCACUAAACUGCCUCCUCCCUCCCUCCCUCCCUCCUCUAGUCCGUCAUUCUCAGGCUGGGAGGCUGUGUCCUGUGUGACUGUCAGUGCAGUAGUGCGUGGAAGUGCUUGAUGUCGAGCUGUGAGGUAUUUUAUAGCCUUGUAAUUACCAGACUGAUUACUGCUGUGCUGUCAGUGUAGCUAAGCAGAAUGUAAGGAGGAGUCGCAUGGUUGUACGAGGGUAUUUUACUGACGGGGUCAAAGGGAAAGGCGACAUUCUAAUUCUCUACUCUUCUCCUGAAGUGUCCACUUGGAUGGAAUGGAAGGUCCUAGGGAGCACAGCAGUACAUUAUGAAGCUGAAGGUUCUAGGGAACAGAGCAGUACAUUAUGAAGCUGAAGGUUCUAGGGAACAGAGCAGUACAUUAUGAAGCUGAAGGUCCCAGGGAACAGAGCAGUACAUUAUGAAGCUGAAGGUUCUAGGGAACAGAGCAGUACAUUAUGAAGCUGAAGGUUCUAGGGAACAGAGCAGUACAUUAUGAAGCUGAAGGUCCCAGGGAACAGAGCAGUACAUUAUGAAGCUGAAGGUCCCAGGGAACAGAGCAGUACAUUAUGAAGCUGAAGGUGCUAGGGAACAGAGCAGUACAUUAUGAAGCUGAAGGUUCUAGGGAACAGAGCAGUACAUUAUGAAGCUGAAGGUGCUAGGGAACAGAGCAGUACAUUAUGAAGCUGAAGGUCCUAGGGAACAGAGCAGUACAUUAUGAAGCUGAAGGUUCUAGGGAACAGAGCAGUACAUUAUGAAGCUGAAGGUCCCAGGGAACAGAGCAGUACAUUAUGAAGCUGAAGGUUCUAGGGAACAGAGCAGUACAUUAUGAAGCUGAAGGUUCUAGGGAACAGAGCAGUACAUUAUGAAGCUGAAGGUCCCAGGGAACAGAGCAGUACAUUAUGAAGCUGAAGGUCCCAGGGAACAGAGCAGUACAUUAUGAAGCUGAAGGUUCUAGGGAACAGAGCAGUACAUUAUGAAGCUGAAGGUCCUAGGGAACAGAGCAGUACAUUAUGAAGCUGAAGGUUCUAGGGAACAGAGCAGUACAUUAUGAAGCUGAAGGUCCCAGGGAACAGAGCAGUACAUUAUGAAGCUGAAGGUUCUAGGGAACAGAGCAGUACAUUAUGAAGCUGAAGGUCCCAGGGAACAGAGCAGUACAUUAUGAAGCUGAAGGUUCUAGGGAACAGAGCAGUACAUUAUGAAGCUGAAGGUUCUAGGGAACAGAGCAGUACAUUAUGAAGCUGAAGGUUCUAGGGAACAGAGCAGUACAUUAUGAAGCUGAAGGUCCCAGGGAACAGAGCAGUACAUUAUGAAGCUGAAGGUCCUAGGGAACAGAGCAGUACAUUAUGAAGCUGAAGGUUCUAGGGAACAGAGCAGUACAUUAUGAAGCUGAAAGGUCCCAGGGAACAGAGCAGUACAUUAUGAAGCUGAAGGUCCUAGGGAACAGAGCAGUACAUUAUGAAGCUGAAGGUCCUAGGGAACAGAGCAGUACAUUAUGAAGCUGAAGGUCCUAGGGAACAGAGCAGUACAUUAUGAAGCUGAAGGUCCUAGGGAACAGAGCAGUACAUUAUGAAGCUGAAGGUCCUAGGGAACAGAGCAGUACAUUAUGAAGCUGAAGGUCCUAGGGAACAGAGCAGUACAUUAUGAAGCUGAAGGUCCCAGGGAACAGAGCAGUACAUUAUAAGUGUUUCUUAUUGGUGGAGCCUCCAGUUGCUGCCUGAUAUUAAGUGAUGAUGUAGUACUCAUUAGGCGAUGUCAUGUUUUAACAUAUGUUUUUAGGAAAGACCGAGGCUUUCUGUGUUAAGAUAUGUUUUUAUCUAUAUAAUCGAGGGAAGAUGACAUUUGGAGAAAUGCUGUUUAAACAUUCCUUUAAUAUGUUCCUACUUUGUGAUCAUAAUAUUUGAGUUGUAUUAGUCGGUGUUCUGAUGAGAGGGUGAACAGCUGUGGGUAUAUUCACUAGGUACUGAACGGAGUAGGACAGGUUUAAAACAGGCCCUGGAUUUAACCUGAACUUGUUUAAAAAUAAACACUUGUUUUUUUUUUGUUGCAAAACUUGUUCCUUUGCAAAAUGUUUCGCUAAAUUGUGCACUAUGAAUAUACUGUGGCUGUGUGCUGCAGUUUGACCACCUGGCCUGCAGAGGGCAUCGAUGAGUCAACUUAUUAUACACUGAUGUUUAACCAUAUGUCAUGCCCAUUAUCAUUAUGCAUCAAG